CCUACGGGAGGCAGCAGUGAGGAAUAUUGGUCAAUGGCCGAGAGGCUGAACCAGCGAAGUCGCGUGAGGGAAGACGGCCCUACGGGUUGUAAACCUCUUUUGUCGGGGAGCAAAUCGCGUCACGUGUGCCUCAUUGCGCGUACCCGAAGAAAAAGCAUCGGCUAACUCCGUGCCAGCAGCCGCGGUAAUCCGGAGGAUGCGAGCGUUAUCCGGAUUUAUUGGGUUUAAAGGGUGCGCAGGCGGAGGUGCAAGUCAGCGGUCAAAUUGCGGGGCUCAACCCCGUACUGCCGUUGAAACUGCAUCCCUGGAGUGCGGGAGAAGUAGGCGGAAUGCGUGGUGUAGCGGUGAAAUGCAUAGAUAUCACGAAGAACUCCGAUGGCGAAGGCAGCAUACCGGAGCGCAACUGACGCUCAUGCACGAAAGCGUGGGUAUCGAACAGGAUUAGAUACCCCUGUAGUC
rnacentral:rRNA from 1 species